rnacentral:misc_RNA from 1 species
GAUGAAGAACGCAGCAAAAUGCGAUAAGUAAUGUGAAUUGCAGAAUUCAGUGAAUCAUCGAAUCUUUGAACGCACAUUGCGCCCGCCAGUAUUCUGGCGGGCAUGCCUGUUCGAGCGUCAUUUCAACCCUCAAGUCCUCGGGUUUGGUGUUGGGGAUCGGCGAGCCUUUCUGGCAAGCCGGCCCCGAAAUCUAGUGGCGGUCUCGCUGCAGCCUCCAUUGCGUAGUAGUAAAACCCUCGCAACUGGAACGCGGCGCGGCCAAGCCGUUAAACCCCCAACUUCUGAAUGUUGACCUCGGAUCAGGUAGGAAUACCCGCUGAACUUAAGCAUAUCAAUAAGCGGAGGA